CUGAGAUAGAAUUGCUAAAUAAUCACUGAAAUACUUCAAUAAUAGGAGAAGUGCUGGUUUUGAACACCCUGCAAUAAGAUGAAACUGAGACCUUGACCCCCCAAACUAUAAAACCUACACUUAUAUGUCGGUAGAUGAGUUUGAGAUCCGUAAGUAACUAAUAGCAGUUCAAAGUCUAGAUGCAGAGGAACAAGCUGCCUAAGUUCUCUGGGAAUUAUUUCUACAUUUAUAUUUUAUGUGACUUCUACAUUAUUUGAGGUCUGAGGGAAUAAAGUGCAGUCAAACAUUCUGUUGGACAGCUCCUUUUUUGAUACAGUAUGUGGGAAAAGAACUUUCAGAAAAUAUCAGGCUAAAAAGCCUGACCUAGAAGAACGAAAAAAGCAGAUAAGAGAGAAAAAAGGCAAAUAAUCUGGUCUGCAUCUUGUAUCCUAAGUGAGCUGUGACAGUAAUUUAUUCAAUCAAUCUGUUCAAUAUAUUAUUCUAACGCGGAAAUGGGCUAACCUGAGCUGCCUUGAAGUGGUACUGGCCAUAGCAGUAACGGAGGCAGCCUGCCCUGCUCCUAUAGUUCCAUAAUUGCUCCCUUGCUGCUCACUUGCCAUGACGACUUGUGGAGAUCUUUUGAGACGGACUCAAGCCUGUCAACAAACUUAUACUGGAUGUAUUGGAGAAGCUUACAGAAUAUAUUAAGUUCCAGAAAAUCUUACAGAACUAUACUAUUUUCAUUUCUAUACAAGCUAUGCUCAUCAUAGGCAGUAGCACUCUGGUAAGCUUUCCCCACAUGUUCCCAUCCAUACAGCUAAUAGAAACCAGUAACCGUUUUUUUAACGAGUAACAGUUUUUUCUGGGCAAGGAUUAUAUAAGGCAAGCCUUACUCCUACUCAGUGCAAUGCAGAGAGGCUGUGUUGGACUCAGGACCUCUUGGCAAAAAGUUGGGAGUACUUCACCACUGCGCCAGGCCUUCCCUUCAACUAUGGACUACAUAUAUGUCAACAUAAUUGUGCCUGCGCACUGUUGCGGGAACAUACAUCAGUACAAUAAUUUUCAAGGAUCGGUGAGCUCAAAAUCCGCAGACAACAAUACAGGAGACUGUUGACCAAUUCGUAUUUCGUCGUUCAUCUCCCCUUUGACUUACUUCCACUGCAUUAUAUAUACUCUAAAUCGUUCUAUCAUUCCCUUAUUAUAAUGGUCAGAAAUUGCAACUUUCCACGAAAACCUGUGUUAGAUACAGAGGAACAACAAAAAUUGUGAUGAAAAUGACCAUGCCGUAUCAUGCUUUAUGCUUUCCAUCCUCUUAUCCUACUAUCUCCUUGCUGUGAUUUUACAGGCGCAUAAAUCUUCAAAAGUGAGUAUGGGGUAUUAUUCAAAGACAUGCCCAACUGCAGAGCAUAUCAUUCAGACUGAGAUGGUGUGCAGUGUGUGCUGAUCCGCCUAGCUCUUGUGCUCAUUCCCUGCCUUUCAUUCUAAUGACUGCUUGAUGUAGGUUUGUUUCCUGUGUACUUAAAUGAAGGAAUCUGGUUUCACGAAUUCGCUGCAUUUGCUCACUUGGUUCUGAUCUAAGAACCACACAUAGAACGACUUUGCUCACCACCUUAUCUUUUCCCCUUCCCUUUUCUCAUCCACUUAUUCCACUUAUCCCUUCCGCAUGUUUCUUAUCCUCUCAGCUCUGUCGUCUUCUGUAGCAGCUUAUUUUCAAUGCCGUGUGAGAUGGAGAGACCGCCUGAUUCGCUGCCCUGCGCUGGCUAUAUGUGGCACCGCCACACUGGGCUAUGGCUGGCACUGCACCUGCGACAGCUGGCGAGCCACAGUGCCGCUGUGUCCAAGGCUCCUUCAUGGCGCAUCUGGACUCCCCAACAGCGAACCAGAAGCCCACCAUUGCGGGGCAUGACGGGACCCUUGGUGACGGGCCAUGACAGCCGAAUCCUGGCGCUCCCGUCGCGGGCUCGGCCGGAUCCGAGCACCGGCGAGGUCCCCGCAGCUGCCGUAAUCCGCAGUUGUGAAAUGGGCCGCCACAUCCACCACAUCCACAAAGGCUAAUUUGUUUGAAGUUUUUAUUCUUGAAUUUUUUGAAAGCUCCCCCAGAUUUUCUGAAAGUUGGGCCUAAGAUUUUCUGAUGUUAUGAAAGUUUGUGUGUGUGUGUGUGUGUGUGUGUGUUUCUGGAAGUUUAGUACAGUACGAAUUUCUGAACGAUGUGAGAAUUUAGAAAGUAUGAAAACUUCAUUUGAAUGUGCC